AAAGCGAGCGGCGGCUUCCUCCUCCUCCCUGAAGCCGCCGCGACCUCAUACCGGGCUCAAACCCGGGUUCGAAUACAUCGGGGCUCUCCUCCUCCCUGUCUCGAUGUUGUCAUGAACGGCGGUUCCCCUCCUCCUCCCUGGGAACCGCCGUUUUUU
rnacentral:sRNA from 17 species